UACGUAGGGUGCAAGCGUUGUCCGGAAUUAUUGGGCGUAAAGAGCUCGUAGGCGGCUUGUCACGUCGACUGUGAAAACCCGGGGCUCAACUCCGGGCCUGCAGUCGAUACGGGCUGGCUUGAGUGCGGCAGGGGAGACUGGAAUUCCUGGUGUAGCGGUGAAAUGCUUAAAUAUAUAGAGGAACACCAAACGGCGAAGGCAGUUAACUAUUCGAUUCCUGACGUUGAGGCACGAAAGCGUGGGGAGCAAGACGG
rnacentral:rRNA from 1 species